rnacentral:rRNA from 1 species
UACAGAGGGGGCAAGCGUUGUUCGGAAUUACUGGGCGUAAAGGGCUCGUAGGUGGCCAACUAAGUCAGACGUGAAAUCCCUCGGCUUAACCGGGGAACUGCGUCUGAUACUGGAUGGCUUGAGUUUGGGAGAGGGACGCGGAAUUCCAGGUGUAGCGGUGAAAUGCGUAGAUAUCUGGAGGAACACCGGUGGCGAAGGCGGCGUCCUGGACCGGUAUUGACGCUGAGGCGCGAAAGCCAGGGGAGCAAACGGG